rnacentral:rRNA from 1 species
GUAUCUCUGUAGAGUCUGCAUAUCAAUAAGCGGAGGAAAAGAAACUAACUAGGAUUCCCUUAGUAACGGCGAGUGAAGCGGGAAGAGCUCAAAUUUGAAAUCUUCAAGGUUUUACCUUGACGAAUUGUAGUUUAAAGAAGUGUUUUCUGUUGAAGUUUCGGUAAAAGUUCUUUGGAAUAGGACAUCAUAGAGGGUGAGAAUCCCGUAUUUGACCGUUAUUUUCAGCUGUGUGAUACACUUUCAAAGAGUCGGAUUGUUUGGGAAUGCAGUCCAAAAUGGGUGGUAAAUUUCAUCUAAAGCUAAAUAUUGGCGAGAGACCGAUAGCGAACAAGUACCGUGAGGGAAAGAUGAAAAGAACUUUGAAAAGAGAGUUAAACAGUACGUGAAAUUGUCAAAAGGGAAGCGUUUGACACCAGUGUUGUUUUCUCGAAAAUCAAUUAAAAAUAGAUUUGAUUUUGUGUUGUAUUGACCUUAAAAGCUUUCUUCACUUUUUUCAUGUUUAUUUUUAAUGCACUUUUCGUUUAACAAGUCAACAUCAGUUUCUUUUGUUGUAAAAAGGUCAUUGGAAGGUGGCUUUCUUUUCGGAGAAAGUGUUUAUAGCCUUUGACUCCUGCAAUCGGAGAGACUGAGGUCUGCAGCGUAGAUCCUUCUGGAUUAGAUUCAUUUGUGCUAAGUUAUAGCUUUUCAUAGACAACUUGUUGACUAUGUUUUAGUCAUAUAGCUUACUCGCUUAUGUAAUUUUACCUACGCUUAGGAUGUUGAUCUCUCACAGUCGAGC